rnacentral:rRNA from 1 species
AAAAAUAAGAGUUUGAUCAUGGCUCAGAUUGAACGCUGGCGGCAAGCUUAACACAUGCAAGUCGAGCGGUAAUGUAAUUUUUUUACAACGAGCGGCGAACGGGUGAGUAAUAUCUGGGAAUCUGCCUUAUAAAUAAGAAUAACUAUUGGAAACGAUAGCUAAUGCUUAAUAAUGUUAUUAAUUUAACCAAAGUAGGGGAUUUAAUUUUAGAAUUAAACCUUAUGUUAUAAGAUGAGCCCAGACGAGAUUAGCUAGUAGGUAGGGUAAUGGCUUACCUAGGCAAUGAUCUCUAGCUGGUCUGAGAGGAUGAUCAGCCACACUGGAACUGAGACACGGUCCAGACUCCUAAGGGAGGCAGCAGUGGGGAAUAUUGCACAAUGGGGGAAACCCUGAUGCAGCUAUGCCGCGUGUGUGAAGAAGGCCUUAGGGUUGUAAAACACUUUCAGUAAGGGAAGAAAUUAAUAUUACUAAUAAUAAUAUUAAGUGACAUUACCUACAAAAGAAGCACCGGCUAACUCCGUGCCAGCAGCCGCGGUAAUACGGGGGGUGCAAGCGUUAAUCGGAAUUAUUGGGCGUAAAGGGUGAGUAGGUGGUUUUAUAAGUCAAAUGUGAAAUCUCUAAGCUUAACUUAGAAACUGCAUUUGAAACUAUUUAACUAGAGUGCUAUAGAGGGGAGUAGAAUUCUAGGUGUAGCGGUGAAAUGCGUAGAUAUCUAGAGGAAUAUCAGUGGCGAAGGCGACUCCCUGGAUAGAUACUGACACUGAAUCACGAAAGCAUGGGUAGCAAACAGGAUUAGAUACCCUGGUAGUCCAUUGCUGUAAACUAUGUCGAUUUGAAGAUUGUAAUUAUUUAUAAUUUUCGUAGCUAACGUGUUAAAUCGACCGCCUGGGAAGUACGAUCGCAAGAUUAAAACUCAAAUGAAUUGACGGGGGCCCGCACAAGCGGUGGAGCAUGUGGUUUAAUUCGAUACAAAGCGAAAAACCUUACCUGCUCUUGACAUCCAAAGAAUAAAAUAGAAAUAUUUUAGUGUCUUUUAAAAAAAGAAGCUUUGAGACAGGUGCUGCAUGGCUGUCGUCAGCUCGUGUUGUGAAAUGUUGGGUUAAGUCCCGCAACGAGCGCAACCCUUAUUCUUUGUUGCCAUCGAGUAAUGUCGGGAACUCAAAGAAAACUGCCAGUGAUAAAUUGGAGGAAGGAGAGGACGACGUCAAGUCAUCAUGGCCCUUAUGAGCAGGGCUACACACGUGCUACAAUGAUAUAUACAAAGAGAAGCUAUUUCGUAAGAAUAAGCAAAUCUCAUAAAGUAUAUCUAAGUUCGGAUUGAAGUCUGCAACUCGACUUCAUGAAGCAGGAAUCGCUAGUAAUCGUGAAUCAGCAUGUCACGGUGAAUACGUUCUCGGGCCUUGUACACACCGCCCGUCACACCAUGGAAGUGAAUUGCAAAAGAAAUAAGAAAGUUUAACCUUUUAUAAGGGGAACUCUUAUUACCUUGUGAUCCAUAACUGGGGUGAAGUCGUAACAAGGUAACUGUAGGGGAACCUGUGGUUGGAUUACCUCCUUU